UGAACGCUGGCGGCAGGCCUAACACAUGCAAGUCGAGCGGAUGACAGGAGCUUGCUCCUGAAUUCAGCGGCGGACGGGUGAGUAAUGCCUAGGAAUCUGCCUGGUAGUGGGGGAUAACGCAGCGAAAGUUGCGCUAAUACCGCAUACGCCCUGAGGGGGAAAGCGGGGGACCGUAAGGCCUCGCGCGAUUAGAGCGGCCGAUGUCUGAUUAGCUUGUUGGUGAGGUAAAAGCUCACCAAGGCGAUGAUCAGUAGCUGGUCUGAGAGGACGAUCAGCCACACUGGGACUGAGACACGGCCCAGACUCCUACGGGAGGCAGCAGUGGGGAAUUUUGGACAAUGGGGGCAACCCUGAUCCAGCAAUGCCGCGUGAGUGAAGAAGGCCUCGGUGUAAGACUCUUUGUCUGGAAGAACAAGCAGCUCUACACAGUCUGCGAAUGACGG
rnacentral:rRNA from 1 species